rnacentral:lncRNA from 1 species
UUGGCUUAUUGCAGAUUGUUCAGUAGUAAACUGCAUGUCUAGAGUAUUGUACAUUGAUUAAAUGUGUGCUGUGUUAAAUACAUUUUGCAAAUGUUAGAUGUACUUAGAACUGACACUGAAUAUGAUGUCUCAGCUGUUUCUGGCAAGUUGGGAGAAGUUUCAUGGUGAAGCUGAGAAGAAUUACUGGAAGGCAAUUGCAGAACUCAUUCCUUACGAGGUGCCAGCUAUAGAGAAAAGGGGGAAGAAAAAAGAUCAAGAGAAGAAGAAGCCUUCCAUCAUUGUGAUCCAGGGGCCUAAGCCCGGGAAACCAACUGACCUUUCAAGGAUGCGCCAAAUACUUGUGAAACUCAAGCACAAUCCUCCUCCUCAUAUGAACCCAAAACCACCACCACCACCACAAACAGAACCUACCAAAGAUGCAAAAACCAGCCCUGCUGUUGGUUCUGGCACUGCUACCUCAAAGCCUGCAGCCCCUGCAACUCCCAAGGGUGUGGCUGCAGCUUGAGAGACAUUCUACCUCCCUGCUGAAUCUGCUUAUGUGAAGAGUAACUAGCUAUGUUUCAGAAAUGUUUAUUUGGUAUGAUCUUGAACAUUAUGAUGUCUGAAAGUUUGUUAUUGUGAUCAUGCUAAUCUAAGCAUGUGGCAGUAAUCUUGUAGAUUUUUUUUUUUUUUUUUUCUGUAUCUAUUUUGUUGAUUGAUCAUUUUGGUGCGGUUUGUCUUGUGAACUUUUCCUUCAUCGUCUUCCUUUAAACCUUCAACCGUCCGUUUAGUUUGUUUCCCCGGAGUAUUUCAGUUUAAAGACUCCACUAAAGUAGUGGAACAGUGCAGUCACCAUCAGAAGGUGCUGGGAUGAGCUUUGUUUUGCCUCAGGUCAUGAGUAUGGCGCUGUCAGUAAGCAGGGAAAACUACUUAGCUGUUCUGUGAUUGAUAAUGGGAUGCGACAAAUUAAUAGUUAUUAUUGAACUCAAGACCAAUUUAACAGUUCAUUUUGCAGUUACUCAUGGAUGCUCAUUUGGUUAGUCCCAAAGGCCAGGUAGAUGGUGAGACAAACAAGUAGUUGAAGACCAAUAGAAAAGAAUGAGAUAUACAUUCAACUGCUAACAACAAAUUACGCCUUUGGACCGACAAAUCUGCAAUCAACUACACACUAAUGAGUCUAUCCUCUACCCCACCAAACCCCCGCACCCCCCAUUUUUGGAGGGGGAACUUUGAUCUCAAUUUAUAAACAUCAUAAUGGAAACGAAAGAAUAUAGUAAUUCUAUCACCUAGCUAGUUGAGCCGAGGUGGGUACCUCAUGAUCUACAGAUCUCUUGCCCUUGUGCUUUUGAGAAGACGAUGUCUCUGAGCUACUGGCGCCCAAAGAAUAGGAGGUGUUGCCUCUGUAGACCCCUGGCUCUGUCAGUGCUUUCUCAUUCAGAUGGACAUCUUUGGAAAGCAUCUCCACCACCUGCUUCAUUGUUGGUCUGUAAUGCGCACCUGCUUGGGUGCAAAAGAGCCCAACCUUGAUGAAGCGCAUAACCUCCUUUUCUGGAAAUUGAGUCAGCUCUGGGUCAACUAUUUCCAGAAGUCUUCCCUCUUCUCUCAGUUUCCAUGUCUGCAAAAGCAUACAAAUUUUAGUCAUCAAACACUGUAAAACUUGUCCAUCUGGGACAAACAAUAAUUGGUUUUGCCAAGAAUUUUGGAUUUUUCUCAGUCCAAUGUAAAAUAGUAUGGAUCUACAAUAUCAUCAACCAUGCCCUUUGUUUUUUUUUUUUUUUUUUUUUAUUUAAAAGGAGAUAAUUCCAAAUAUCCCAAAAAGAAUCCAAGAGGAACUAAGGACGCAAUGAUACAUAAUAAUAAGAUAAGAAGCCCGAUUAAAAUCAAAGCUUCCCUCUCCCAUUGGCAAAGCUGCUUUAUCUCUCAUUAUAUGACAAGACUAACCGACAGAGACAGGAGUCUACAACUUCCACAAGAUAUGACACAAUUUCCAAAGAUGGAUUUAAUGAGGUGUCAAAACUAUUAAUGCAGAUGAGAUAAAAAGGUAAUAUAUGGUAUGGAUACAUCAACUUCUGUUCCGAGUGAGUUAUCGUGCCAUGACCUUCUAUGUCCUGAACUAUUUAAUGAUACACAUGUUGUGUGAUUCUACAGAUUAUAGGACUAGUGUUAAUAUCAUGGUCCAGGUUUAUCCAUCAACAGUGAGUCAAUUGGUUGUCAAUGCUUAACAAGAAAUGUUCACCCUCUGAUACUGUAAAUAGAGCCCUAUGGGGUUCAGUGAAACAAAGAAAGUCUCAGAUUUGGCAUCUGCACUUUAUAUCUAAUAAAAUAAGACCAACAUGACUUAGAAGAUUCAGCAGCAGAUAAAGUCUAGAGAGAUACCCAUUCAACUAGAAUUAACAUAUCAUCUCCAAAUGCUGCCUUGCUACUACUUCUGCCACUAAUUAUUUCAAGUAAAAGCACACCGAAACUGUACACAUCAGCCUUCUUUGUAAGCUGUCCGAGUAGGGCAUACUCUGGGGCCAGAUAUCCCCUGCAGACAUGGAAGAAAACCCAGAGAUGUGAAAAGAAGCAAAAACAGACAAAACAGACCUAUUAGCAAACCACAAGAAGCCCGAAAAUCCUACUUGAACUAGCUAUCUUUACAAACUUCUGAAGAAAUAAAUGGCCCAGGAAAAUUAAUGGUAAAACAAAAUCCAAUUAAGUGUCCUGCUUACAUCGUUCCAGCAACUCGAGUACUGACAUGGGUGACAUUGUCCGGAAAGAGUUUUGCAAGCCCAAAAUCUCCUAUUUUAGGAUGAAAGUUUCCAUCAAGAAGUACAUUACUAGCCUUAAUAUCUCUGUGGACAAUAGGUGGGUCAGCUUCUUCAUGAAGAAAUGAAAGACCAGAAGCUGUACCCAGGCAAAUAUUUGCUCUUGUAGGCCAGUCCAGAGAAACAUAUUUACUCUUUGAACCUGCAAUGAUAAGCACCAGACAUUAGAGCAUAUAAACUUCGAAAGCUCAUCUAAAUCCAUAAUUUCUUUAACACAAAUACACACAUGAACAUAAUACAAACCUCGAACAUACAAACACAUUUUCCUACCAGAACAAGACUCACAAAUGUUCUUCCAAAUAGUGCAAUUCGGAGAGAUGAGAUUAUAUUUACCUAAUAAUGCAUUUGCAAGGCUGUUAUUCUCCAGAUAUUCAUACACCAAAAUCCUAUUAUUGUCCUCAACACAACAACCGAUAAGUUGGACUAGGUUCGGAUGACGAAUGUUCCAUAUCAUAUCAAUCUCUGUCAAGAAUUCCUUCGUUCCUUGUUUGGAUUCUGCAGACAGACACUUGAUGGCUAUUUGGGCACCAUCUCUUAAAGUACCCUGCAACGACAAAUAAUUAAGCACAUUAGUAUUAAAAUUUUAGCUAGAACCUAAAAGUAACAGCACAAUGGUCAUUUUUCUUAAUCUCACCCUAUAGACAACUCCAAAAGCACCCCCACCAAUCAUGUUAGAUGGAUGAAAAUCCCUGGUUGCCGAUCUCAACGAAUUGUAAGAAUACAACGUUAUAUUGUAGGUGGAGAUGCCUUAAUAAGCAACAAAAAGAUUAAAAAAAAAAGAAAUUAAACAACAUUCAAGAACCUCCGAAGCUGCAACUAAUAAUUGAGCGUAUACAAUCCAAGAGCAAUUGCAGUGUUUCUACAAAACAACAUAUAGCAACUUGAACAUGCUGAAUUAUUUUUAUUAUUACUAUCAUAUGAUUCAUGAACCAAAUUACAAAGCAAUUGGGUCGCUCUAAGUUCUCUCACCAUGUGCUUCAGCCUGAUCACUAUCUUUUCUUUUACAACAUUUGAAGGCACCAAAGCAACUCCAACUCAUUGCAAAAAACCGUCACCGAGUCUUGAGAGUCCACAAACAGAAAAACCCUUAAAACCAACAUGUCUAAGAUCAUCAAAACAGAAAUGUCUAAGAUCAUCAAAACAGAAAUACACAACAUGUCUAAGAUCAUCAAAACAGAAAUACAAAAAAAAAAAAAACAAAAACAAAAACAAUGAACAAAUAAUUUUAAAAAGUAAAAAAUUACUUUUUUAUUCACUGAGUCCUGAAUAUACUUGUUGAAACUUUGCUGGCUGACCAGUAACGUUUCUUGGGUUGUUUAGACAAGGAAAUCCAAGUUUGAUUGUAUAGACUAUUUAUAAGAAAAUUAUAUGAGAGAAGCAUCCGCGUAUCUAUUAAAAAACAAAAAAACAAAAGACAAAAAAAUGGGGUCUGUGAUUAUUUUAAUUAUUUAAUUUUCAUAUUAAUGAAUGAAUUGAGUGCCAAUGACAGAAAAAAAGGUUGAAAGGCUUUGUGACAAAUGAUAAUGACAAUGGUUUCAUUUUUUUUUUUUUUUUGCUCGAUUUCCCGUGUGAAGGAAAGACACGGCAGGAGUACGUUUUUGGCUUUGCUGACAUGAAAGAAAGUCGUCGGGUGGGAGGUAGGUGACAUCGGUUAUCUUUUCCAUUACUUCUUUUAUUAAUUAGUUCAAAUAUUCUGUUCACUUGAAUAUUCAUAAAAUGGAGGGGUAGUUAAAUUUGGUAUGGGAAGAAUUUAAUUAAUAUAGGGUGUGUUUGGAAAUGAUGUAUUGUAAUUUUUAAAUUACAGUUGUUAUGAAAAAAAUUAUAAAUAUGAAAUAAAAAUUAGUAAUAUAUUGUAAAUGUAAAUUUUAAAUAAUAAUUUUAAUAAAAUUAUUAAAGAUAUAAUAGAUUUUUCAUUAUACAAGUGAAAAAUCAUUUCAAUAUAUCUUUCAAACUACAACAGUUAGUGUUUACCAAAAAUUUUAGUACUCUAACUUUUAAACUACAACUGGCCAACCUCAAUCUCAAAUGCACCUAUAAUUUAAAUAAAUUUAUAUUUGAAGAAUGUUUUUAGGAGAAAAUCUAUUCUUUCACUCUUUUAUUUGUCAUAUAGAUAAGUUAAUAAGUCUUUUAAGAGUAAAAUUAAAUGAGUUAUUUGGUGAUGUUACAUAUAAUCUUUUAUAUGAUGGUGAUAUUUUCACCCUAUAAUUUUUUAUAAACCCAUCCCAAGAAAUAAUUACAAAAAUUUCAUAUUACUUUUAAAAAAUAAAGAAAGAGGAAUUUUGGAGAUUUAAUUAAAUAAAUUAAAUACCUAUUAGGUAUAAGAACUCAUUCUUUUGGGGUCAAUUUGGUCAUUUUAUAAAUAUUAGGGUAAAAUAAUUAAAUAAAACUUAUUUUAAAGCAAUUUUAAUGGUCAAUAGUACCUAAGUUAAAAAAAAUAAGAAAAUUAUUUUUUUUUUAAGUAAGGGGUGGGCAAAGCCCAAAUAGGUUUUUAUUUUGCCCCCUUACUACCCCCAAGACUCGAAUCCGGACGUUAUCGGUUAACAAGCUUGAUGCUAUUAAGAAAAUGAUUUAAUUGAUUAACUGUCAAACUUUUCUUCGUACAUUUUAAAACUAAUGCAAGUUUAUUUUAAUUAUUUUCUUAACGUGAGGUGGAUUUACAUAAAAUAUUAGAUAAAAUAUCCCCAUUCUCUUUCAUAUUGUGAUGAUUUUUUCAAUAACCAACUUAAUUUUGUUCAUUUAUAUCAAAUAGGACCUUAAACUCUUAUUCAAAUGAUCAAAAUCAAAUUAUCUUUAAAAUAUUGGUGAAAAUCAUCUUAGGGUUAAAUGCUUCUCAUUUUUAUGGGAAGGAUGUAAGCGAUUAAGUCUCCCUGGUUGAAUGUAGAAUAUAUUUCUUUUCAUAUGAUUUAUUUCGAGUAGAUUCCUUUUUUCAAUUUAGAAUUGAUGUUUGAGUUGCAUUUGUUAACUUGUUGUUAUAAACUUAUAAUGAUGAAAGUUGAUAUUGACAAAAUUUUUUGUUGUAAAUUUUUGAAUUCAUCCUUAUUGUGCUAAGUAAGGUGAAUUUAGGCAUAUUUGUGAUUCAAAAUUUUAAAAUAGUAAUAAUAACACGUCUAUGAUAUCGUGAAUCAGCAUUAACUGUAAAAUUUUGUAAAUUUAAAAAAAUGGAACAUAAGAUUUUUAAAUGGAAGGUAAAAAAAAUAAAUUAAUAUAAAACUUAUAAAUUGAUGUAUUAUUAGUAAACAAAAUAAAAAUUUAUAAAUAUAAUGUGAAAUAAAAUAUAAAAUUUGGAAAUGGAACAUAAAAUUUGUAAAUCGAAGGUAAAACAAGUAAAUUAAUACAAAACUUGAAAAUUGAUAUAUUACUAGUGAAUAAAACAAAAAUUUGUAAACAUAACAUACAACCAGUAAAUUUACAUUGCAAAAUAAAUAAAAAUUUUAAAAACAGAACAUAAAACUUAUAAAUAAAAAGUAAAACAAGUAAAUUGAUAUAAAACUGGUAAAUUGAUAUAUUAUUUUAAAAUAAAACAAGAACUUGCAAAUACAACAUAAACUAGUAAAUCAACAUUGUAAAAUAAAAAAAAUAGAAAUAAAACAUAAGACUUAUAAAUGGAAGGUAAAACAAGUAAAUCAUUAUGAAACUAUUAAAUUGAUGUAAUAUUAGUAAACAAACUACAAAAAAUUUACAAAUAUAGUAUAAAACUAGUAAAUCAACAUUAAAUGUAAAAUAAAACAUAAAUUUUAAAAAUGAAAUACAUGACUUGUAAAUGAAUGAUAACAUAGUAAAUUAAUAUAAGAGUGGUAAAUUGAAAUCUUACUAGUAUACAAAACAAAAACUUAUAAAUGUACUAUAAAAUUAUAAAUAAAUAUUAAGUGUAAAAUAAAAUGUAAAUUUUAUAUAUUACACCUAAAAGUUAUGAAUAGAAGGUGAAUAGUUAAAUUAAUAUAAGAGUUAUUGAGAAAAAUUACAAAUGUAAAAUAAAAACUCAUUUUAAUAUUAAUUACCUUACCUAUUUACUAACUAUAAAUAAAAUGAUAGUUUUGGAUUUAUAUAAUACAUGUGAUGUUUUAUUAAGGAUAAACCUUAUUCUUAAAAUUGGAUUUUUAAACUCUUUUUAAAUUUUUUUGAAACUAUUAUAAAAUAAGGUGAUUUCCCAUCUUUCUAUAUCCCUCAAUAGUAACUCUUGAAUGGUUUCUAAAUACAAGUAAAUAAAAAAGUUUCAAAUUAUAGGAGUAUGCAAAAGACUCAAAAUUAGAUAUAAUUUAUUGAUAUAUCAUAUAUGUGUCUAAUAAUAUAAAAAUAUCUUUUUAUUUUCUUUUGUCUCGAUUCACAUCAAGAUAAACAAUUCCACUUAAUUAACUUGUGUAGUAACAAAUGCGAUUAUACAAAUUGUAAAAAAAAAAAAUUAUAAAUGUCCUAAAUUGAAUACAGAAUUUAUGGUUAAAGCCAAUUCAAUAAAAUUUAUUCCACUUAUCUUUAGUAUCAUUUUUUUUUGUUUUCAGUUGAUUAGUGAUUUUUUUUUCUUUGAUUAAAGUAAAUGAAUAAGUUAUUUUAUACUAAACUUCUAUAGAAACUAUGUUAUGUUUUUAUCAUUAAAAGUCUUAUAUUAAUUUACUUAUUUUACCUUGUAUUUACUAAUUUUAUAUAUAAUUAACAAAAUUUAUAUUCGUACAGCAGAAAAUCUUCUCCUCCUCCUUCUUCUUCUUCUUCUUCUAUGUUUUUUUAAAUAAUUCAGAAAGUGAAUUUCAACAUUUGCUAUUGAUAAUGAUAUGAAAAAAAAAAAUUCUAAAUAUGAUAAACUUCUCGAGAACAUAUUUCUUUCUAAAAUUAAUGACGUGAGGCUAACAUAAUUAUCUCAUUAAAUGCGAGACAAAAAUAAUAAAAUCAUCACAAUACUGUCAUUAUUUAUUAUUCUUAUUAUUUUGUUGCUGUUAUUUAUUUUUUAUAUUAAUAUUAUUUAUAUUUUGAAAAAGAUAGGUUUAGGUGAAAGCAAAUCUAUAUCAAAUUUUUUUUAAUAUCUUUAUCUUUCUAGAAUUCGAGGGCCAAUCAAAGAAAGCUAAUUGAAUGGGGGCAUAUGAAGUGACUAUCACAAAUAAUAAAUUAGUAAAUAAAAUUCCAAUAAAUAAAUAGCCACUAUCUGAAUUAAAAAAAUAAGGAAAACAGGAAUGCUGCAACAAAACAGACGACAAGCAAGACCAAAAACGACCAGAAAUUUGACAAUUCAUUUAUUUCAUAACAACAACCGAUGAAAAGGAAAAGACUGAUUCUGCGCAGACAUCACAAAACAGGAAAAAAAAGUACCGGUUCAAAAUUCAAACCCAUAUCUACGUAAAAUAAAUUUGUCCUAAUUUCGUAAUGAAAUUUAGCCGCCACUUUAAUUGAACAGGUCCAGAAACUCAUUAACGUAGAAUGUCAAUGUUGGCAUACAAUUUGAGGCAAAUAGUCAUUAUUUCCUCUCCUACGCUUGUCAAAAUUUGCCCCAGAGGGACUGGCAAAACGGUUCUCCCAAAAAAUUUAGGGUUCAAAGUUCUUGUGCCCACGUUCCUUAAUUGGAGUAAUUACAGUUUUACCUGUGCUUCCGGAUAUAUAAGAUUCAAAUUAACAGAAAAAUAAUAAAAUGCUCAGUACAAUUGGACCUGAACAAUUAAGUUAAGCAACAAUAUCACGGAUGAAUUAAUGGGACUUGAUUAGACCCAAACAUUUCGGUAUAAUAAGAUUAAGAUUACGGGUGACUUCAACUCGACCAAAGAUUGGAUGGUGGACCACUGCCCUCACUUAACGAUUCGAAUUUUUUUUCUCAAUUAUAUUAUAUUGGGUGUAACUAGUUAUUUUCUUUGAAUGGAAUAAAUAUCCCUUUGAUGGUAGUUCUAAUAAUAACUAGAUAUUAAUGAAUAUAAAAUUUUAGAUUGUGUCAUGGUAAAUUUUAUUGAUGGUAAAUUCUUAGUUGUACAUAUCAAUUGAAAUAAUGUAUACACAUAUAUGUUUCAGGGGAAAAAAAAUGUUAAUGUUUGGUGUAAAUCAUUUUCUACUUAUAGCCACUUAUUUAAUAGGACUAUUAAAAUAAAGUCCACAUUGUCCCCUAAAAUUUGAAUAAAACCCUUGUGUCGUUAUCAUCGUGUUGAAAUUUUGAACUUUAUACUGUAAGGCUGAGUUAGUUAAAAGUAACAUUAUGUUAAAUCAAGCUUACAAUCAUGAAUCUAAAUAUCCAAGAAAGGAAAAAAAAAAUUAGACAAACACCGAAAAAGAAUAAAAAAACAAAUUGCUCUCAAUGACUAAUUCAAGCUACAUCCAGAUUAAAUGUCAGCUAUUAGAAAAAAAAAAACAAUGUGGAAAAUCUAUAUUAUUCUAGAGAAGUAAAAGAGGGGUCAGAUUUUCUUAUCUUAUAUAUAUAUAUAUAUACUGCUGUACCGUACAUCCGCCUUGGCCGUACAGCAGAGGGGCNNNNNNNNNNNNNNNNNNNNNNNNNNNNNNNNNNNNNNNNNNNNNNNNNNNNNNNNNNNNNNNNNNNNNNNNNNNNNNNNNNNNNNNNNNNNNNNNNNNNNNNNNNNNNNNNNNNNNNNNNNNNNNNNNNNNNNNNNNNNNNNNNNNNNNNNNNNNNNNNNNNNNNNNNNNNNNNNNNNNNNNNNNNNNNNNNNNNNNNNNNNNNNNNNNNNNNNNNNNNNNNNNNNNNNNNNNNNNNNNNNNNNNNNNNNNNNNNNNNNNNNNNNNNNNNNNNNNNNNNNNNNNNNNNNNNNNNNNNNNNNNNNNNNNNNNNNNNNNNNNNNNNNNNNNNNNNNNNNNNNNNNNNNNNNNNNNNNNNNNNNNNNNNNNNNNNNNNNNNNNNNNNNNNNNNNNNNNNNNNNNNNNNNNNNNNNNNNNNNNNNNNNNNNNNNNNNNNNNNNNNNNNNNNNNNNNNNNNNNNNNNNNNNNNNNNNNNNNNNNNNNNNNNNNNNNNNNNNNNNNNNNNNNNNNNNNNNNNNNNNNNNNNNNNNNNNNNNNNNNNNNNNNNNNNNNNNNNNNNNNNNNNNNNNNNNNNNNNNNNNNNNNNNNNNNNNNNNNNNNNNNNNNNNNNNNNNNNNNNNNNNNNNCAGCAGUAUAUAUAUAUAUAUAUAUAUAUAGUCAUCAUUUUCUAUUUUUCCUGACCUUCACUGUGAAUUAUUCUUCUACCUGCUAUUUUUUAAUCUUUUAUGUUUUUACCAGAUCAAAGAAAGCGGUCAGCUCAAUUCCUCAUUUAGUCUAUGCAUUAUGCAUAUUUUUUUUUUUUAGAAAGAUUCAACGUGGCGGAAAAACUCUCUCUAAUAUUUAAUAAUAUUUCAUGAAUCUAUCAGAGUUUGAACUUAGGAUGUGAGUCUUAAUAAGAUUGUUCCUUUACCACUGGAACUAGAUUCAGCAACACCAAGUCAAUUAAAUUUGUCUGUUAUCCUCUCAGAUUAUCCUACAAUAUUACAAUUACUUUAUUUUUAAAAAAUUUACCCCACAAGUAUGUGUUAUAUAAUAUUUUUUGGGCGAAUUUUGAUUUACGCCCACAAGAGUGUUCAAUAUACUCUCAAGGUUCUAAAAACAUCAAUGUAUUCCCAUUUACAGUUAAAAAGACAAAAUAAAAAUAAAAAUUAUAAAUGCGCCUCUUAUUUACCCUCAUCUCUUCUUAAUAAAAUGGAGAUAAUUAAUAUUUUCAUAACUUUAGGAGGUAAAUUAAAAAUUAUCAUUCUAGGUAGGAGUAAAUUGAAAUUUACUCAUUUUUAUGAUAAAGUUUUACUGAUUUAUAGAUCCGAGGUAAAUUUCUAUCUCCGGCCUACCCCUUCCCUUUCUUUACUUUAUUUUCCUUAGGAAUUAGGAAUUUAUCUCUAAAAAAGGCAUGACUGCUAGAAAUCAUAUAUGAACUUGUUCUAAGUGGAUUUAUUAACGGGAGUUUCAUAUUUAGUGGAGUCUUUCAUCAAGGGCGUUGGAUCAAAGUCCUUUUUUUUUUUUAAUAACUAAAAUCUCAUUUUUUGAUUCAAUAAAAACAUGGUAGAACCUCAUUAAAUUAAUAUUCGAUAAAUUGAUAAUCUCAAUAAUAAUUUUUGUCAGUCUUAAUUUUACACUAACGUGGUAAAUUAAUAAUUCAAUAAAUUUAUUAGAUAGUAAAUUUUCUAAAUAAGAAAAAUCUAAUUUUUCUACGUGAUUCAACAAACACACAAAUUAAUAAUUAACUAAUUUGAAACUAAAUACAUAUGAUAUGUCUAGCAUAAUGCUUUAGACAUUUCAUCAGUCAUUAUUGCUUUUUUUGCACAUUUUUUAUGAAAAGUUAUUGUUGUUUUCUAUGUACAAUGUUAAGAGAAAUAAGAGAAAGAUCAUCUUAAUAUAUUGCCUCCAAAAAGUCUUCUACAAUUAGUUACCAUAUAAUUGUGUUCUAGCCAUGCAAUCUACUGAAAGGAUUAUUUAGAAUCAUAUCAUAUAACUUGAUAAAAUCACUAAAUUUUUUAAUUAUACUACCAUAUUUCAUAAAAAUUCCUAUUAUGAACAUGAUAUUAUCUUUGUAAAUUAAUAACUUAUUAAUCUGUUGAUAAAUUAAUAUAUUUUUGAUGGUCGCAAAACUAUUAAUUUAUCGAGAUUGUAUUGUACCUUACUCUAAUUAGUCUAGAUUUUUUACUGUUAUAAAUUGUUUUCUGUUGUAAAUCUUAAUUUUUGGAGCCAAUUUUGAUGCUGAAAUAUUUUUUAAUUUUCAUAAUCAACAACCUAAAUAAAUAUUUCUUCCCAUGAUUAACAUAGUGACAUCCACCAAAACCAAAUAAAUUAAUACUACUAGCUUAUAAGAAAGCUCAAGCUAUAAUUAAAAACUCCUAACAUCACAAUCCUAGGCGUUUAGGGUCAAGCUGUGGCCACACUUAUGUAACAUGGCGGCAACUAAGAAGACCAAAUGAGGCAACAUUCAAAUAAUUAACAAAUAUUCGUUGAUGUUAAACAGCUCAACCAACCCAUGGAAAUUUGUUGAUGCAACAGAUAAUGAUGCUUUGAAAUGUUUGUGUUUCAUUAACUGGUAGAAAGAUUAAAGCAGGAGCUUUUUGAUUUCCAGAAAGCGAAGUUCAUAUACAAAUAGUCCUCAUCGCUCGAAAGAGAAGGGGAAAAAAAGUUCAAAUGAUGAUUCAGAAAGCUGAAUCAUCAGAAUCACUAAUACAGGUAACAUAUUGGAAACAUUACCUAAUAAAUGAUACAUAAAAGUAUUACAAUGCCAUGCAAUACCAGCUUCUUUAGAAACGGGUUGUUCCUUAAUCAUCAUGCUGGUGGAGCUUCUACAUACAGAAAUGGGUCACCUGCAGCUAUGCUGGCUGACAGGGGAGGAGUUUCCUCUCUCGCUCCCAAAAUCAUGAAUGUCAUCGAGUUCAUUUCCGUCUAAGAUAAAGGGGUUGUUGUUGACACUUGGUUCAGAGCUAGCAUUGCUGCUUGUGGCAAGAGGAGAGUCUGUAACACUAACUGUCCUACUUUUUAUGGAUCCUGAUCUCACACUAUACAUGGAAGAAGCUGGAAUGUUUGUCAUUAGUGGCCGCAAACUACCUGAAUUAAUGCUUCGCCUUAUAUCCUACAUAAAAAAGAAAAAAAAAUGAAUUAAUUCUUGCCACCAAAUGUGCAAAGCUUGUUGCUUCAAAUGUAUAUGUGCUGCAAGAUAUGAUUUUCAUUGCAGUUAAUAGAAUUUAUAGAGUGAAGCAAAUUGUGUAGUAGUAUCAUUACGCCAAUGCUACUAAUCAAUCCACAAAGCCAGCUUUGGCAAAGCUUCAUGGUAAAGUGCAAUGGGAAAUGCAUACCAUAUGUCUCAAAGCCAUAUCAAGAGAUUUCUUUGAGAGUGUUCUUCCAAAGCCUGAGCUAUCGACGGAUGAAGAUGACUUCCCAGCAGAAGUGUAAUGGGUGGAGUGAUUUUCCUGCUUCGGUGGUGCCAGCUUCCUCAUGUUCACCACCCUUUCGACCAUUUUGGUUCCAAUUACUACUGGGUUCACAUCAUCACCAUCACUGGCAUUUACUCUACGCGCAGAAGUAAUGCAGCCUCCAUUACCAUUUGAAGUCCUUACUCUAGAAGGAGAGCAGGACUGCUGUCUGCGUCUUCCCUUAGAACCAGCCUCAACAGAAGGUGAUUGAGCACUUGGUGCUCCUGGCCUGCCCCGAGAAGCUGAAGAUGGCCUUUCUGGCAAUGAUGUCCUUAAAUUUGGUGGUGCAUCAAGUGAAAAACCAGGCAUCUCAGAGGGUUUCCAAGGCCGAGAUUUUACAGUUGGGGAAGUGCCACGUGAUGGAGCUGAAUUUUUCACUGUUGUGGAACUUGACUUUGACACUGAAGAAGAACAACCAGGAGCCGCAGAUACGCCAGAUGCACCUGAUGGUGCUGAUCGUUGACGAGUUGGUGUAGCUGAUCUUACUGUUUGUCUAGAAGUUGGCGUAGUUGAUCUUACGGUUGCUCUAGAAGUUGGUGUAGCAGAUCUUGUUGUUGAUCUAGAAGUUGGUGUUGCUGAUCUUACUGUUGAUUUAGAAGUUGGUGUUGCUGAUCUUGGUGCUAGCUUAGGAGCUGUUACAGUGGGUCUAGCAGUUGGUGUUGACGAACGAGCUGUGGAUCUAGUCGGAGUUGAGGAUCUCACUGCUGGAGCCGUAGGCUUAGAUGAUGGCAAGGUGGCCCGUGAUGUAGGCGUAGAUGGUCUUGAAGACUUAGCUGUUGAGUUUAAAGUGGGGCGUCCAGUUGGUGUAGCAGCUCUAGCACUAGAUGUUCGUCCACCAGAAGAUGAUGGCCUGCUGUCACCAGUACUGGAAGAGUUCACCCUAGAAGGCAAAUUGGGAUUCUUAGAAAGGACACUACCCCUCGAAGCAGGAUCUUCCUGAACAUUUGCCAGCUGCAAGUCCAUGGAAGCAGGAAUUUACAAGCUAUUACAUAAAUGGUAAUACCACAAAUUUUCUUAACCACCAAAAGACAGUACCAUCAAUCAUCAUAACUUGACAAUCAUUAAAGCUUGGCGAAAUAUCCCAGCGAGAUCAUACACACAAACGUAUUACAGUUGACGAGGCUUGAAAGCAUCUAGAACUUUAUAUACAUAGAAACUUACCCUUGUUUUCAGAGCAGUUGGACGAGCAUUAGGCAUCUCCAUCUGAUUCAGUUUGGCUUUUUGUGAUUCCAUCUCCAAGGAAGGAAAAACUGCUGUACGGCCAAGGCGGAUGUACGGUACAGCAGUAGUUUAUCAAUACUCAUUAAUAAAAUAUGUUAUAGCAAAAUUAUGAAAAACAGUGCAAGAGUUCAACAGUUCAUGUCUAUUUGUGCCAAAACUCAAAUGAUAGUUGCAAAAUUCUUCACGAUGAUGGCGGCCAGUUGGCUUCCAUUUGUAGUUUUGUGUGCUUGGCUUUCUUUUAAAGCUUGGAUGCACGGUGAUCGGAGAGGAAGAAGAGAGUAAAAAAUGUUGAUGUAAGGGUAGUUUGGUAAUACGUAGGGUUUAUUUAUAAAUAAUUUGAUUUGCAAUGUUUUUGUGGGGUGUAUUUAUAAUUGGACUGGUAUUAUAAAAUAAAUGGAGCGGAGACAUCGUCACCUCUGAUAAUUACGUUAAAUGAAUUAAUAUAGUUUUGUUUUGACCGCACGCCAAAUUCUCUUCUAAUGAGAUAAUCUCAUUUAGUUUAUGUUAUUAGUCAAAUUUUAUUCUUUUAAAAAUUUAUUUGUUUUUCUUUCUCUGGAAUCAAAUGAGGAAAUGAACAUUCAAUUCUAAAACCAUAUAAUGUAAUAAUGAGACAAAUUCAUUUAUUCCUUUUACUAUUAAUCUAUUAUCGUUUAAAGGGAUAUCAUCAUUUUACCACCUAAUGUUUUCUAACAUAUAAUUUUAUCACUAAAGUUCGCAAUUUCUUUUUCGCACUUAAUGUUUUAAUUUCUUUUAUUUUGUUAAUGAAUUACUAAUGUUGCAUUGGUAUUUUAAGAAUUUCAGUAUAUUCAGUGUUGAAGGAAUUUCACAAGAUAUAAUAUUCACAAUUUUAUUAGUUAAUUAUUUUAGAUAUAUAUAAUAAGCAAUCGAAAAAAAAGUAUUACUUCUUUGUAUAUAAUUAAUUUUAUAUUUUUUAAACAUGGAUGGUUAAAUUACAGUUACACAAUUUAGUGGUAAAAGAUUUUUACUAUCAUUUAUGUUUAAAAUUUGUUAAAAUAAAAUGAUAAAAACUGAUAUUAAUUGAGAAAAAUAAUAAUCAUAAAAAUUUGGUGAUAAAAUAAUAUGUCCAAAAACAUCAGACGGUUAAAUAAUCCAAGACAAUUUUUUAUGUGUGUUAGAAGAAAAAAAAAAUUAAUUUGAUGUUAGUGAGAGGAUCCAUUCCUCCUGAACUCUAAGCCGGAAAGACAAAGUAACUAAUUGGGCUUAAGGGCAAAAACCAGUCAACCCAAACCCAACAUACAAUUUUAGGUGGGCCUAAAACUUAUGCCCGCAUCGAGCAUACGAAGCUGGAAGGAACAAAACAGGAUUAUUAAUUAAUUUUAUAAAUGAAAUUUAAAGCGUUAAAUUUGAAAAUUUCAUUUAGAUUUAAGGUCAAAUAUGAUAUAUAUUCAUCUAGCUGAAACCCUCGCCUGCAAUUGUUAAAGAAGGGUUAACCAAAUCACUAGGGCGUGUUUGGCAGUGGGCACUAAGUUUGGCGCACACACAGAGCACGGUCAGUACAAAGCUGGUCAAUUCGCCAGCCUUGGGCCAAAUGAGGCCCGCCCUCAUCGUGGGUUUUAGCGGGUCUGGUUAAUAUUAUAUUUUUUUAGUUCAGUCUUUAAUAUUAUUUAAUUUAAUUUAAUUAAUUAACUACUAAUGACUACUAACCAUAGUGAGUUGUCUCUGACUACCCUUAGCCAUUGUAACUUGUCACUGUUCACCAUCGUCAGGCACCAAGUAUCUAUUUAUAUUAAAUAUUACAUCAUUUGAAUCUUCAUAUGGUCAGAAAAUAGACAUUUGUUUGUAGUGAUUUUAUGCCAAAUUUUAAAUUGAAGUUUAACUAUCAAUCUAUGAUCAACGAAAGUUCUAUUAUAGGAAAUGUUGCUGCUAGCGCAGACAAAAAUUCUAACUUAAAAUUAAAAAAUAACAACAGCAAAGUGUACCAACAAAAAUGAGUGAGAUUUUAACUUUAAUUAAACGAAUAACAAAAGAAAAGAUAUAGCUAAAACAACAUGAGUGAUAUUUUACACUUCAAUUAAUAAAAAAUAAACAGAGAGAAAGGAUAUUUAAUUAAUCAAGUGAAAAUCUUCUCUUACGUUAAAACAACAUGAUUGAGAUUUUAACUUUAAUUUAAAAAAAUGAAAGAGAAAGAAACCAUUUUUAAUUAAUCAAAUUAGUCUAAAAAUAGAUGAUUAACAAUAAUAUACCAAUCGUCAAACACUCUUUAGUAAACCGAAAAUCUCUUUUAUUUUAUUUUUAAAGUCAAUGGUUCAAAAUGUCUCGCGCCGUUAUAAAAUUAGAACAUUUAUAAUUUAAGCCUAUUCAAUCUUGAACUAUAAUAUCUCUUUAUAAUAUUAAAAGAAAAUAACAACGACAAUGUUCACCACCUAAAAAAUAAAAAUAAACACGUUAAAUAGGAAAAAAAGUUAAAAUCAAUUUGAGUCCAAUAACUUGGACUCUCUGAAUAUAUUCUCAAGACCACGAGCAAAGCAUCUCUUACGACGCAUUGUUUAUUCCACGUAACGGAAACCACUCAUCACGCAGUAGAUGAUGAAUAUUCGAUGUGGUGGGGACAUUCUAGCAAAAAGGUGGCACUGACAGCAACGACUGGACUUCAACACAGUCAAUUUCCACACUACCUCAAUACUUGUCAACACAGCACUAACUCAAACACUUGACAAACCCAUUCAUCAGCUGACACGUAAUUAGUAGCACCAAACUUGCAUGCACCUAAAAUAAUAACCGUUUCUGUUGUGUUUAAGGAACACUCGGGACGCAUUAGAUUCGUUUUUCUCACCGAAACAUUUGGCAGAGAAAGCGUCUGCGGUCACGACCACAACCAUGUCAUCAUCGUUCACCGGCUCAUUCGGUGACGAUGACUUCAUGGCCUACGAUCCUCGUCUUGCUUCGCAGGGAUUCAACUCAUCGUUCUCGCAAUUCGAGGGGGACUCUGUAAAGGACUCAGCCGGUGACUCGUCUCCGAUCUUCAGUAGCCAGUCCUACGGAGCUGGCGACGAAGUGUUCUCGUCCAAUCCGCUGCCGGAUACUCCAUCGCCGCCGUCGAUCUACGCCGCCGGUGGUGGAUUCUCAAGUUUCUCGCCGGAGCGGAACGGUAAGAGUUUUGGUGGAGGUUUUGGUGCCGAGGAUGAUUCGAUCUUGCCGCCGCCAACGGAGAUGCCGGCUGAGGAAGGCUUUGCUCUCAGAGAGUGGCGUAGGUGAGCUCGCUAUUUCGUUUACUUAUAUAAUUGUUUUAUAUGCCUAUUGCCUAUUGAUUGAGUGCUGUGUGAAUCAGUCUUGUGGCUAGUUCCGCUGAGCUUCUUUGUAUAGAUAUUUUAAAAAAAUAUUAAUUUAGGUUGGCUUUCAUUCAAUUUCUUAUUUUUAUUAUUUUUACAAUAUGCACUAGACGUCCAUCUAAAGUAGACUAAGGAAUCGAAUCGGCAAAUAAUCAAAGCAAAUCUUUAUCAAUUAAUUGACUUGUCGGUUAUAUUCAGCGGUUAGUGAUUUCGUUAUACGGAUUAAAAGCCACUACAUCUCAAUACCAAGCUGGUACAGUCUCACUAGUACUUUUCUUAGGACCUAUAGCUGGAAUGAUUAAUCAACAAAUAAGAGUAGAUUUAAUUAAAAGAUAGAGUUGGUUGCUUCGAGGGAACCAAGACCUUCAAAGAAUUGCUACUUGACUCAACUUUUUGCAUAACAAACAUAACAUGGAGUUUAAGCAUUGCAUUAUCAGAAACGAAAUUACCUCUUCAUGACCUCUUGUACUGCAUUUAUAGUAGUUGGAUUUUAUUUUGAUUUUUUUUUAAAUAGCAAUUUUGGUGAUUGUGUAUGAAGAUCUUGGCUGAUUUGAAGUGUGAUUGUGGGUGGGAGAUGUGCAGACAAAAUGCGAUAAGGCUUGAACAAAAGGAGAAGAAGGAGAGAGAGAUGUUAAGGGAGAUAAUUGAGGAAGCAGAGCAGUACAAAGUUGAGUUCUAUAGGAAGCGAGCACUUGCUGUUGAGAAUAACAAAGCUUCUAAUAGGGAAAAGGAAAAGGUAAGAUCCACCUGCACCUGAUACUCUGUUGUUCUCUUUCAUCUUCUUAUAUAUUAUUUGUGAAUUUGCAUCCUUAUGUGCCUGUAGAAACAUAGGAUUAAGAUUGGAAGUGGGAUCGGUACAGUAACAACAACUAAUAAUCAGUUAAUUGUGGAUGGAUAUUCAUUAAUUAGUGUCGUUAUACUUGGCUUAUUGCAGAUUGUUCAGUAGUAAACUGCAUGUCUAGAGUAUUGUACAUUGAUUAAAUGUGUGCUGUGUUAAAUACAUUUUGCAAAUGUUAGAUGUACUUAGAACUGACACUGAAUAUGAUGUCUCAGCUGUUUCUGGCAAGUUGGGAGAAGUUUCAUGGUGAAGCUGAGAAGAAUUACUGGAAGGCAAUUGCAGAACUCAUUCCUUACGAGGUGCCAGCUAUAGAGAAAAGGGGGAAGAAAAAAGAUCAAGAGAAGAAGAAGCCUUCCAUCAUUGUGAUCCAGGGGCCUAAGCCCGGGAAACCAACUGACCUUUCAAGGAUGCGCCAAAUACUUGUGAAACUCAAGCACAAUCCUCCUCCUCAUAUGAACCCAAAACCACCACCACCACCACAAACAGAACCUACCAAAGAUGCAAAAACCAGCCCUGCUGUUGGUUCUGGCACUGCUACCUCAAAGCCUGCAGCCCCUGCAACUCCCAAGGGUGUGGCUGCAGCUUGAGAGACAUUCUACCUCCCUGCUGAAUCUGCUUAUGUGAAGAGUAA